rnacentral:rRNA from 1 species
UACAGAGGUCUCAAGCGUUGUUCGGAUUCAUUGGGCGUAAAGGGUGCGUAGGCGGCUUUGCAAGUCGGGUGUGAAAUCCCCAGGCUUAACCUGGGAACUGCAUUCGAGACUGCAUUGCUAGAGUAUGGGAGAGGGCAGUGGAAUUUCCGGUGUAGCGGUGAAAUGCGUAGAUAUCGGAAGGAACAUCAGUGGCGAAAGCGACUGCCUGGACCAAUACUGACGCUCAUGUGCGAAAGCGUGGGGAGCAAACAGG